UGACGCUGGCGGCAGGCCUAACACAUGCAAGUCGAACGGUAACAGGAAGCAGCUUGCUGCUUUGCUGACGAGUGGCGGACGGGUGAGUAAUGUCUGGGAAACUGCCUGAUGGAGGGGGAUAACUACUGGAAACGGUAGCUAAUACCGCAUAACGUCGCAAGACCAAAGAGGGGGACCUUAGGGCCUCUUGCCAUCGGAUGUGCCCAGAUGGGAUUAGCUAGUAGGUGGGGUAACGGCUCACCUAGGCGACGAUCCCUAGCUGGUCUGAGAGGAUGACCAGCCACACUGGAACUGAGACACGGUCCAGACUCCUACGGGAGGCAGCAGUGGGGAAUAUUGCACAAUGGGCGCAAGCCUGAUGCAGCCAUGCCGCGUGUAUGAAGAAGGCCUUCGGGUUGUAAAGUACUUUCAGCGGGGAGGAAGGGAGUAAAGUUAAUACCUUUGCUCAUUGACGUUACCCGCAGAAGAAGCACCGGCUAACUCCGUGCCAGCAGCCGCGGUAAUACGGAGGGUGCAAGCGUUAAUCGGAAUUACUGGGCGUAAAGCGCACGCAGGCGGUUUGUUAAGUCAGAUGUGAAAUCCCCGGGCUCAACCUGGGAACUGCAUCUGAUACUGGCAAGCUUGAGUCUCGUAGAGGGGGGUAGAAUUCCAGGUGUAGCGGUGAAAUGCGUAGAGAUCUGGAGGAAUACCGGUGGCGAAGGCGGCCCCCUGGACGAAGACUGACGCUCAGGUGCGAAAGCGUGGGGAGCAAACAGGAUUAGAUACCCUGGUAGUCCACGCCGUAAACGAUGUCGACUUGGAGGUUGUGCCCUUGAGGCGUGGCUUCCGGAGCUAACGCGUUAAGUCGACCGCCUGGGGAGUACGGCCGCAAGGUUAAAACUCAAAUGAAUUGACGGGGGCCCGCACAAGCGGUGGAGCAUGUGGUUUAAUUCGAUGCAACGCGAAGAACCUUACCUGGUCUUGACAUCCACGGAAGUUUUCAGAGAUGAGAAUGUGCCUUCGGGAACCGUGAGACAGGUGCUGCAUGGCUGUCGUCAGCUCGUGUUGUGAAAUGUUGGGUUAAGUCCCGCAACGAGCGCAACCCUUAUCCUUUGUUGCCAGCGGUCCGGCCGGGAACUCAAAGGAGACUGCCAGUGAUAAACUGGAGGAAGGUGGGGAUGACGUCAAGUCAUCAUGGCCCUUACGACCAGGGCUACACACGUGCUACAAUGGCGCAUACAAAGAGAAGCGACCUCGCGAGAGCAAGCGGACCUCAUAAAGUGCGUCGUAGUCCGGAUUGGAGUCUGCAACUCGACUCCAUGAAGUCGGAAUCGCUAGUAAUCGUGGAUCAGAAUGCCACGGUGAAUACGUUCCCGGGCCUUGUACACACCGCCCGUCACACCAUGGGAGUGGGUUGCAAAAGAAGUAGGUAGCUUAACCUUCGGGAGGGCGCUUACCACUUUGUAUUCA
rnacentral:rRNA from 2 species